rnacentral:rRNA from 1 species
UAGCAGAGGUGGCAAGCGUUGUUCGGAAUUACUGGGCGUAAAGGGCGCGUAGGCGGCCUUCUAAGUCAGACGUGAAAUCCCCCGGCUUAACCUGGGAACUGCGUCUGAUACUGGGAGGCUUGAGUAUGGGAGAGGGAUGUAGAAUUCCAGGUGUAGCGGUGAAAUGCGUAGAUAUCUGGAGGAAUACCGGUGGCGAAGGCGGCAUCCUGGACCCAUAACUGACGCUGAGGCGCGAAAGCUA